GACGAACGCUGGCGGCGUGCCUAAUACAUGCAAGUUGAGCGAUGAAGAUUGGUGCUUGCCCCAAUUUGAAGAGCAGCGAACGGGUGAGUAACGCGUGGGGAAUCUGCCUUUGAGCGGGGGACAACAUUUGGAAACGAAUGCUAAUACCGCAUAACAACUUUAAACAUAAGUUUUAAGUUUGAAAGAUGCAAUUGCAUCACUCAAAGAUGAUCCCGCGUUGUAUUAGCUAGUUGGUGAGGUAAAGGCUCACCAAGGCGAUGAUACAUAGCCGACCUGAGAGGGUGAUCGGCCACAUUGGGACUGAGACACGGCCCAAACUCCUACGGGAGGCAGCAGUAGGGAAUCUUCGGCAAUGGACGAAAGUCUGACCGAGCAACGCCGCGUGAGUGAAGAAGGGUUUCGGAUCGUAAAACUCGGUUGGUAGAGAAGAACGUUGGUGAGAGUGGAAAGCUCAUCAAGUGACGGUAACUACCCAGAAAGGGACGGCUAACUACGUG
rnacentral:rRNA from 1 species